rnacentral:rRNA from 1 species
GUUUGAUCCUGGCUCAGGACGAACGCUGGCGGCGUGCCUAAUACAUGCAAGUCGAACGAGAGCGACCGGUGCUUGCACUGGUCAAUCUAGUGGCGAACGGGUGAGUAACACGUGGGUAACCUGCCCAUCAGAGGGGGAUAACAUUCGGAAACGGAUGCUAAAACCGCAUAGGUCUUCGAACCGCAUGGUUUGAAGAGGAAAAGAGGCGCAAGCUUCUGCUGAUGGAUGGACCCGCGGUGCAUUAGCUAGUUGGUGAGGUAACGGCUCACCAAGGCCGUGAUGCAUAGCCGACCUGAGAGGGUGAUCGGCCACAUUGGGACUGAGACACGGCCCAAACUCCUACGGGAGGCAGCAGUAGGGAAUCUUCCGCAAUGGACGCAAGUCUGACGGAGCAACGCCGCGUGAGUGAAGAAGGUUUUCGGAUCGUAAAACUCUGUUGUUAGAGAAGAACAAGUGCUAGAGUAACUGUUAGCGCCUUGACGGUAUCUAACCAGAAAGCCACGGCUAACUACGUGCCAGCAGCCGCGGUAAUACGUAGGUGGCAAGCGUUGUCCGGAUUUAUUGGGCGUAAAGCGAGCGCAGGCGGUUCCUUAAGUCUGAUGUGAAAGCCCCCGGCUCAACCGGGGAGGGUCAUUGGAAACUGGGGAACUUGAGUGCAGAAGAGGAGAGUGGAAUUCCAUGUGUAGCGGUGAAAUGCGUAGAUAUAUGGAGGAACACCAGUGGCGAAGGCGACUCUCUGGUCUGUAACUGACGCUGAGGCUCGAAAGCGUGGGUAGCAAACAGGAUUAGAUACCCUGGUAGUCCACGCCGUAAACGAUGAGUGCUAAGUGUUGGUCUCAUAAGAGAUCAGUGCUGCAGCUAACGCAUUAAGCACUCCGCCUGGGGAGUACGACCGCAAGGUUGAAACUCAAAGGAAUUGACGGGGACCC